rnacentral:rRNA from 1 species
GAUUAACGCUGGCGGCGUGCAUAACACAUGCCAGUCGAACGAUGAAACUUUAAUGACCCCUUCGGGGAGAAUUAAAGCGGAUUAGUGGCGAACGGGUGAGUAACGCGUGAGUAACCUGCCUUACACAAGGGGAUAGCCUUUGGAAACGAAGAAUAAUACCCUAUAAAACCAUAAAAGCACAUGCAAUUAUGGUCAAAGUGAUAGCGGUGUAAGAUGGACUUGCGUCUGAUUAGCUAGUUGGUGAGAUAAAAGCCCACCAAGGCAACGAUCAGUAGCCGGCUUGAGAGAGUGUACGGCCACAUUGGGACUGAGACACGGCCCAGACUCCUACGGGAGGCAGCAGUGGGGAAUUUUGCACAAUGGGGGAAACCCUGAUGCAGCGACGCCGCGUGAUUUAGAAGGCCUUCGGGUUGUAAAAAUCUUUUGUAUAGGAAGAAAAUGACAGUACUAUACGAAUAAGGUCCGGCUAAUUACGUG